AUGGUGAGUGAGUUGCUUUUC
rnacentral:siRNA from 1 species